CGAAAUGGAAGUUAUGCCUUCGCAUUAUAUUUGGUUACUACGGAGCGAAUUAUAACUAUCUAAGUAAACUUAUUAUGGCACUGUGAAGAGGAGAGAA
rnacentral:lncRNA from 1 species